UACGUAGGGAGCGAGCGUUGUCCGGAAUUACUGGGUGUAAAGGGUGCGUAGGCGGGAGCGCAAGUCAGACGUGAAACCUACCGGCUUAACUGGUAGCCUGCGUUUGAAACUGCGAUUCUUGAGUGAAGUAGAGGUAAGCGGAAUUCCCGGUGUAGCGGUGAAAUGCGUAGAGAUCGGGAGGAACACCAGUGGCGAAGGCGGCUUACUGGGCUUUAACUGACGCUGAGGCACGAAAGCAUGGGUAGCAA
rnacentral:rRNA from 1 species